rnacentral:rRNA from 1 species
CCCUUAGAUGUCCUGGGCCGCACGCGCGCUACACUGAUGCAUUCAACGAGUUUUGUUUGUUCCUUGGCCGAGAGGCCUGGGCAAUCUUUUGAACUUGCAUCGUGAUAGGGAUAGAUUAUUGCAAUUAUUAAUCUUGAACGAGGAAUUCCUAGUAAACGCAGAUCAUCAAUCUGCAUUGAUUACGUCCCUGCCCUUUGUACACACCGCCCGUCGCACCUACCGAUUGAAUGGUCCGGUGAAGCCUCGGGAUUGUGGUUGGUUUCCUUUAUUGGAGAUUGAUUGCGAGAACUUGUCUAAACCUUAUCAUUUAGAGGAAGGUGAAGUCGUAACA